rnacentral:tRNA from 1 species
GACGAACCAUAAAAAGUUCUAAGGGCA